rnacentral:rRNA from 1 species
UACGUAGGGUGCAAGCGUUGUCCGGAAUUAUUGGGCGUAAAGAGCUCGUAGGCGGUUCGUCGCGUCGGCUGUGAAAUCCCGAGGCUCAACCUCGGGUCUCCAGUCGAUACGGGCGGACUGGAGUUCGGCAGGGGAGACUGGAAUUCCUGGUGUAGCGGUGAAAUGCGCAGAUAUCAGGAGGAACACCGGUGGCGAAGGCGGGUCUCUGGGCCGAUACUGACGCUGAGGAGCGAAAGCGUGGGGAGCGAACAGG